UACGAAGGGGGCUAGCGUUGCUCGGAAUUACUGGGCGUAAAGCGCACGUAGGCGGCUUUCUAAGUCGGGGGUGAAAUCCUGGAGCUCAACUCCAGAACUGCCUUCGAUACUGGAAAGCUCGAGUCCGGGAGAGGUGAGUGGAACUGCGAGUGUAGAGGUGAAAUUCGUAGAUAUUCGCAAGAACACCAGUGGCGAAGGCGGCUCACUGGCCCGAUACUGACGCUGGGGCACGAAAGCGUGGGGAGCAAACAGG
rnacentral:rRNA from 1 species